AUCGGCUAUGGCGAUAUAACUCCUCACACCUAUCUGGGACGUUUGAUCGGUUCAGUUUGUGCUCUAGCCGGUGUGCUUACUAUUGCUUUGCCAGUUCCAGUGAGUUUUGUUUUUUGG
rnacentral:sRNA from 14 species